rnacentral:snRNA from 1 species
GUGGUUGAAGUAGUACAUUUACUGAAAUUGGAAUGAUACAGAUUAGAUUAACAUGGUCCCUGUUCAAGAAUGGCAAACAAACUCUUGAAGUACUCCAUAUUUUA